GGAGAGAUGGCAGAGUGGUCUAUUGCGUCUGACUUGAAAUCAGGAGAACUAAAAUGGUUCCGUGAGUUCGAAUCUCACUCUCUCCU
rnacentral:tRNA from 1 species